GCCGUGGUAGUGUAGAUUGUUGGCCAAUAAAGCCCACAAACACACUGGUCUAGCACUUGGGACUGUCGCUCCCAUAACCCGGGUUCAAAUCCCGGCCACGGCG
rnacentral:tRNA from 1 species